UAAUACGUAGGGAGCGAGCGUUGUCCGGAUUUACUGGGCGUAAAGGGCGCGUAGGUGGUCUAUUAAGUUAUAGGUGAAAGCCCGGGGCUCAACCCCGUGAUUGCCUGUGAUACUGGUAGACUUGAGUGCAGGAGAGGGGAGCAGAAUUCCCAGUGUAGCGGUGAAAUGCGUAGAUAUUGGGAGGAAUACCAGUGGCGAAGGCGGCUCUCUGGACUGUAACUGACACUGAGGCGCGAAAGCGUGGGGAGCGAACAGG
rnacentral:rRNA from 1 species